GCUGGCAUUGAGACUCUAAAAUGGUUUCAUCAAUUCUGAAGUUCCAAGAUAUGGACUAUAUUGAAGUAUCCUUAAACUGGUUCAGGUUCCAAUACUAGAGGACGGUUCAACAAAUUGAGAGAUGCAUUUUCUAAA